rnacentral:rRNA from 1 species
GACGAACGUUGGCGGCGUGCUUAACACAUGCAAGUCGAACGGAAAGGCCCUGCUUUUGUGGGGUGCUCGAGUGGCGAACGGGUGAGUAACACGUGAGUAACCUGCCCUUGACUUUGGGAUAACUUCAGGAAACUGGGGCUAAUACCGGAUAGGAGCUCCUGCUGCAUGGUGGGGGUUGGAAAGUUUCGGCGGUUGGGGAUGGACUCGCGGCUUAUCAGCUUGUUGGUGGGGUAGUGGCUUACCAAGGCUUUGACGGGUAGCCGGCCUGAGAGGGUGACCGGCCACAUUGGGACUGAGAUACGGCCCAGACUCCUACGGGAGGCAGCAGUGGGGAAUAUUGCACAAUGGGCGGAAGCCUGAUGCAGCAACGCCGCGUGCGGGAUGACGGCCUUCGGGUUGUAAACCGCUUUCGCCUGUGACGAAGCGUGAGUGACGGUAAUGGGUAAAGAAGCACCGGCUAACUACGUGCCAGCAGCCGCGGUGAUACGUAGGGUGCGAGCGUUGUCCGGAUUUAUUGGGCGUAAAGGGCUCGUAGGUGGUUGAUCGCGUCGGAAGUGUAAUCUUGGGGCUUAACCCUGAGCGUGCUUUCGAUACGGGUUGACUUGAGGAAGGUAGGGGAGAAUGGAAUUCCUGGUGGAGCGGUGGAAUGCGCAGAUAUCAGGAGGAACACCAGUGGCGAAGGCGGUUCUCUGGGCCUUUCCUGACGCUGAGGAGCGAAAGCGUGGGGAGCGAACAGGCCUAGAUACCCUGGUAGUCCACGCUGUAAACGGUGGGUACUAGGUGUGGGGUCCAUUCCACGGGUUCCGUGCCGUAGCUAACGCUUUAAGUACCCCGCCUGGGGAGUACGGCCGCAAGGCUAAAACUCAAAGGAAUUGACGGGGCCCCGCACAAGCGGCGGAGCAUGCGGAUUAAUUCGAUGCAACGCGUAGAACCUUACCUGGGUUUGACAUGGAUCGGGAGUGCUCAGAGAUGGGUGUGCCUCUUUUGGGGUCGGUUCACAGGUGGUGCAUGGCUGUCGUCAGCUCGUGUCGUGAGAUGUUGGGUUAAGUCCCGCAACGAGCGCAACCCUUGUUCACUGUUGCCAGCACGUUAUGGUGGGGACUCAGUGGAGACCGCCGGGGUCAACUCGGAGGAAGGUGGGGAUGACGUCAAGUCAUCAUGCCCCUUAUGUCCAGGGCUUCACGCAUGCUACAAUGGCUGGUACAGAGAGUGGCGAGCCUGUGAGGGUGAGCGAAUCUCGGAAAGCCGGUCUCAGUUCGGAUUGGGGUCUGCAACUCGACCUCAUGAAGUCGGAGUCGCUAGUAAUCGCAGAUCAGCAACGCUGCGGUGAAUACGUUCCCGGGGCU